rnacentral:lncRNA from 1 species
UUUUAAUAAUGGAAGAAAGAGUUUGAGAGGCAAUUAUGUGCUUUUAGUUUAGAUUUAAAAAUUGAUAAACAAAUGUUUAAAGUUAAUGGUUUUGAUUUAUUGUGGAUCAAAGUUUCAAAUAAAGGAUCUUAAACUAUGUGAGAAGAUUUACCUUAGGAUCCAUUAACCAAAUGUGUUGGUAUUUCAAUCGACUGUUCAGAGCUCCAUUGGGGGAGCAUUUUUCUAAAACAAUUGCUACAAUAGUUUACAAAAAAUGAUGACUACACAUUCCAAAAGCAUCAUUAAAUGAAAAUUGAAAAUCGACUAAGUGAAAUGAUCAACUCUCUAGUCCCCAAGAGAUUCUCUCAAGUAUUCUUUGCUAAAAUUGAAAGAAUACAUGGUCUGCUUCUUGAGCUACAGAGAUAGACAAAUAUAUCUAUCUUUUUCCUCAAUAAUUAAUUAGAAGUUUUGAUACCCCGUAUUCUAAAACACGCAAAGACCUCACAUACAUUUUCUGGUAUGUUCGAGGAAGCUUGACUAGAGAUAAACUCCCCCUUGAUAAUUCUAGCAACUUAAAAGUUGUCACUUUAAAUCAUUUAGAUCUCUUGGGGGAUUGUACCUUGGGGGUUAACUCAUUAUGCUCACUAGAAGCAAAUGUACCCGCUGAAAUUUUGUCCGGUGUACACGUUGCUUUUUCUUCUUCAUGUGGACGAGGUAUUGCUAUUUUAUCCCGUUGCACAAACCCUUCUCCAGGGGCCUCGCUAGACCAAUCUCAUAGAUAGCUGCCUGCAUUCUUCAGAGUGGACGAGACUUUCACCCAAGAUGGAAUAACAACGAUGAUUGUAUAUUCACGUUGACUUAAUAUAUGUAGUACAGAAGCAAAAUCUACAUUCACCGAGAUUAACAUGAUAGAUGAUGGCUAGCGAUUGUCUAAAGCAAAGGGGAACAUAUCUUCCUAAAUUGCCUUAUCGAUGACAUCUUUUCUCUCGUUGGGAAAUUGUUCAAGCUUGAUAUCGGUCAUUUGACCCUCUAUUAUUCGCCUAGGAAUUGCAUUAAAAUCUCUGUAUGCUGAAGACAUGGCCACUGGUCCAUUAAUUGUAGGAUGAGCUCUUAAACCCAUGCUAAUGUUACCAGCAGUAUCUUUUGGAUGUACAUCUCUUGGCAUGGGUUAGUUCUCAAUAUCCCAAAUGAUAGCAAUAGAAUCAUGUAUUGACAGAAAUUUAAAAGCAAUAGUCAUUAAAAUAAUCAUGUAAUCUCAGUGGAUAAAAGAAAAUCUUCAUUUUCCCUCGUUUGCUUUUAUAAAAUUCAUAUACAAUAAAUAUCUUUUGUCAAACAUAUAAACCUAAAGGCAUUGUACCAAAAAAAAAAAAAAACUAAAAGAUGUACAAUGUAAACAAACCUUCUAAAAAAAUAAAUUGCAUAUAAAGCAUUUUUUUCCUUAGUAUCCAGUCCAUCAAAAGACUCACCCGAAGACGCAAGUAAAAAAAUCUAUCCCGACAUAGCUCAAAAUUUCAACGGAAAUGGAGCCUAAAAUUGAAAUUAAAUCAUAAACAAGUAUAAAUAAAUGAAAUGCAUGUGAUUUAGAGAGCUCCUUGAGGUAUGCUGGUGAACACAAAUCCAGUUUAGUGGACAAGCUUUGACCAAGUUUUACAAAAGUCAAUCUUGUGAAAACCUGCCUAUGUUCAAUUGGCCGCAAUCUUUGAAUCUAAUCAAGCUGUCCUGUUGAACUGGUCGAGCCAUAGCUUGAAGGAUAGUGUCACUAUUGCUAGGGUUUUUUGUUCGAAGUAGAAGGAAUGAAAUUACUCUGAUCUUUUCUUUCGCCUAAUAAGAAGCUAAAUAGUAAACAAUAAUAAGAUAUUUCAGAUGAACUAUGAAACUAGUUUCACUACAAUGAUGAACUAGUUUGAGAAAAACAGGUGUGAACACUUUGUCGCCUAAAUGAAUAGCACCUGGUUGGUUGUCUUUUAAGGUAAAGGUAGAAACAGAUUUAAGGUAAAGGUAGAAACAGAAAUUAGUAUAUGAAUUUUAUUAAAGAAAGCGAAAGGGAAAGUGAGGAUUCUUUUUUAUUUGCUGGGAUUACAUGAUUAUUUUAGUGAUCAUUUCUUUUAAAGUUUUGUCUAUAAGAGGUCCUAUUGCCAUCCUUUUGGACAUUGAGAGUUGUCCUGUCUAAGAGAUGUGCGACUAGAGGAUAUUGCUAGUAACAUUGGGACGGGUUUAUGAGCUCAUCCUACAAUUAGUGAAUCGGUGACCGUGUUUUCAGUAUAUGAAGAUUUUAAUGCAAUUCCGCGGAGAAUAAGAGAGGGGUGUCAGAUAAGUGAUACCAAACUUGUACAUGUUUCCAACGGGAGGGAAGGUUGAUGUCGACAAGAAAAUUUUGAUAGAUAUAUUCUUUUUUGCUGUGGAUAAUUUCCAGUUAUCACCUAUCUUUUUAUUCUCGAGAGAAGUAGAUUUUGCUCCUGUACUUCAUAUUCUAAGUCAACAUGGAUACACAAUUAUCGUUGUUAUUCUAUCUUGGAUGAAAGUCUCGUCCAUUUUGAGGAAUGCAGGCAGCUAUCUAUGGGAUUGGUCUAGUGUGGUCCUUGAGGAAGGGAUUGUGCACCAAAAUAUAACAGCGAUACCUCGUCCAAAUGAAGAAGAAAAAACAACGUAUACAUCGGCCAAAGUUUCAGCAUAUACACUGCUUUUAGUGAACAUAAUGAGUUGACCCCCUAGGUACAGCCUAUAGAGAUCUAAAUGAUUUGAAUGGACAACUUGUUAAGUUGCUAGAAUUGUAUUGGGGAAGUUUAUCUCUAAUCAAGCUUUCUCGAGCAUACUAGAAAAUUUACGGGGAGGUUUUUGAGUGUUUCAGAAUAUGGGGUAUCAAUGCUUUCAAGAUUUCUAAGAAUGAUGGAUGAUUUGUUAAUUAUUGACGGAAAAAAUAGAGAUAAAUUUGUCUCUCUCUAAUUCAUGAUACAAACCACAUUUUUUCUUCAAUUUUAGCAAAGAAAGAUACUAGAGAAAGGAGCUCUUGGUCAUAGUCAUUAAAAUCGGAUUGGGAACCGUUGAACAGGAUUGUGAUUCGGUCCGAGUUCAUUAAUUAGACAAAUGAACCGGUCGAGAACCGAUUGAAUCGCUUAAAAUCCACCUGAACCGGAUGGGUUUCAGAGGUACUAGAUCCGGUUCACACUUAGAACUGGCUUGUCACCAAAGUAAAUUGUAAAAUUUUUUUAUUUUUAUUUUUAUUAUUUUUAUCAAUUUGCAAAGAAGCUAAUUCAAACCCUGGUCUUUUCUUUGGAAUGUCAUGUCCUCUACCAUUUUGGAGUGUACUCACUUUUACUCUAUAAUGUGUAGCAAACAUAUAUAUUUCAAUUUACAAAGUACAAUGUAAAAUUCAUUUUUUCCAAUUUGCAAAUAGAAUGAUUCGAACCUAGGUUUCCUACAUGAGAAUUUAGGUCCUUAACCAUCUAGGAAGCAAGUGAAACUUCUUGAAGCAUGGAAGCCAAGCAAAUAUAUGCAAAUAUAUGCAUGUAUAUGUAUAUAUACACAUAUACAUAUAUAUGUAUAUGUAUGUGUAUGUGUGUAUAUACACACACACACACAAAUAUAGGAAAAUGAUUUAAUGGGCACGGUGCUUAGCUUAUUAAGCACCGGUGAUAUAUCACAAUAAUUAAUUGGUGAAUAUGUUAAUUGUAUGUCUCAUGAGUUUAAUUAUUCACCAAUUAAUUGUUGUGACAUGUCACCGUUGCUUAACAUAAGCUAAGCAUUGGUGCCCAUUUGAUCAUUUUCCUACAUAUAUAUGUAUAUGUAUAUAUUAGAUUUAGCUUUUUUUCCAAAAAUAUAUUUUAAUUAAAAUUAUGAUCUAACAAUGACCUACUGGUUCAACCAUUGACCCGGUGACCUUGAUGAAUUUCUCGAGUUGACUAUCGGGUCGAGUUUAAUAACUAUGCUCUUGGUGACUAGAGAAUUGAUCAUUCCACCUAGUCAAUUUUCACUUAAUGAUGUUCUGGAAUAUGUAGUCAUAUUUUGUAGACUAUGGUGGACAGGAUAUUCACAAUAUAGUUUUUUGCAAGAAUGCAUACAUUUUACGCAUAUAAUAAAUCAGAUCCUUUUUAAGAUAUUGACCCAAUGCUUUUGCUUUAAUUUAUCCAUUUGUUUAUAUUACUUUGAUUAGAAAUGACUACGGAAUCAUUGAUGCUAGUCUACGCAAUAUCCAUGUUGAUUGCUAUUUUUAUGCCUUAGUUAAUUUUCUAUUGUCAUUUUGUAUUCAGAUUUUUAGUUUUCCAACGGUAUCUAUGAUUUGUUUAAUGCUGCAGAACAUGUUAAAUUUCAUCUUCUCAUGUAAUAAUUUACAUUUUCUACCUGUUGUGAUGUCGUUAAUAUAUUGUUUAAGCAGGAUUACUUUUUAGUUAUUAUUCUAUGCACACACUGUCAUAUAAAUGUAUUUUGUUCGAAUGUUAUUUCCAUAGCGAUUAGGCGAUUUAAAUUUUAUAUAUUAUGUUUCUUAAUUUUCCACUAGUACAUGUGGUUUUCAUAUAUUCCUUUAAUUUUCCAAUUUUCAUGAAUGCAUAUUUAUUUGUAACAUAGUUUAGUGAUGUGGGUGGCAUUAAUGGUUGAAUUAAGCAGGAUCAUAUAUUCCUUUGGUUUUUGGGACAAUUAGGCGAUUUUCAUUUUUCACUUAACGAUGCUUUUGGAAUAUAUGACUUGAGAAAGUUAUGAGAAAUUGAUCUAAUAUACAAUGUCUGGAUAUUCUCCAUUUUACCCUGUUAGAUGGCACUAUUUAUUUUUAACACUUGAAUUGUGACUUUUUUUGCAACUUAUUAGAAUACAUUGUUGAUGAAUUUCUUAAUGUCUAUGGCAUUACGAAAGGCAUAUACCUUAGAAUUGGAAGAAAAAAAUCUCAAAGCUUAGAGAAAUGAACCAUGAGUUGCGGAAAAACAGGUAUAUUAGUGAUACCAGUAAGAUGACCCUUAAUGAUAUUGAUAUAAAUUGUUGCUGUCUUCGUGUGUUGCUGCAGGUAGAGUGUGGAGAUGCAGAAAAAUUAGGAACUACUUAAAAAAGACGACCAGCCAGGUGCUAUUCAUUUUGGCGGCAGAGUGUUCACACCUAUUUUUCUCAAACUGGUUCAUCACUAUUGUGGUUUAUCGUUCAUCCAAAAUAUCUUAUUACUGUUCAUUGUUUAGCUUCUUAUUAAACAAAAAAAAAAAGAUUAGAGUAAUUUCAUUCCUCCUCCUUCGAAUAAAAAACCUAGCAGUAGUGGUUGUAUCCUUCAAGCUACGUCUUGACCAGUUCAAUGGGCAGCUUGAUCAGAUUCAAAGAUUGCGGCCAAUGAACUUAGGCAGGUUUUCACGAGAUUGGGACCUACUUUGUAAAACUUGGCCAGGGCUUGUCCACCUGAUUGAAUUUGUGUUCACCAGCAUAUCUCGAGGAGCUCUCUAAAUCACAGGUACUUUGUUUAUUUAUACUUGUUUAUGAUUUAAUUUCAAUUUUAGGCUCCAUUUCCAUUGAAUCAGAGAAUUUUGAGUUGUGUCUUGAGAGAGUUUUUUCCUAGUGUCUUUGGGUGAGUAAAGGGGUUAAAAGCGAUGGGUACAUCAUGAAUAGAAUAGAGAUUGAUCAAAUUCUCACUGUCUUCCAUACCCGGCAUAAUUUGUUUUGAGUGGGACUUUCUCCAUAAAUGUUCAUUAUUACUAGGUAAUGAAACUUGUAUGAGCUUAUUUAAUAAUUCUUUGAUAUAUAAUCCUCAUCACCAUUAUCGUGAUGGAGCGGGAUACUUUGCUAACUUUUCUAGAUGAAGAAGCAUUUACAUGUAUCGAGAGAGAGUUUGGACUUCCAUUCAAUUCUGUUUAUUCAUCAAUAUCUGCUUCUCCGAUUGCUACUGCCAGUCUAGGUGAACUGUACAAAGCUCGAUUUAAGUACUUUGGCUAGUUUGUUUUGAAGGCGCAAACACUUGGUAUUGAAAAAGCUAUAGGGUUGGAUUUUUAUCUUAUAAGAGGUUUAUGCUUCCUCAUAGAUAAAUAUGUUGAAAUAAUUACAAGUGAUAGUAUUGCUCAUAUUGAUGAUUUUGCUCAAAGAGUUUAACAAGAGCUCAAUUAUGUGCUCAUUAGUUUCUGAUAUUAUUUUCCAUUUACUACUGAAGAAUAUCAAUGUGGAGCACUUAUCUUAUAUGCGG